GAUGAACGCUGGCGGCGUGCCUAAUACAUGCAAGUCGAGCGAACGGACGAGAAGCUUGCUUCUCUGAUGUUAGCGGCGGACGGGUGAGUAACACGUGGAUAACCUACCUAUAAGACUGGGAUAACUUCGGGAAACCGGAGCUAAUACCGGAUAAUAUUUUGAACCGCAUGGUUCAAAAGUGAAAGACGGUCUUGCUGUCACUUAUAGAUGGAUCCGCGCUGCAUUAGCUAGUUGGUAAGGUAACGGCUUACCAAGGCAACGAUGCAUAGCCGACCUGAGAGGGUGAUCGGCCACACUGGAACUGAGACACGGUCCAGACUCCUACGGGAGGCAGCAGUAGGGAAUCUUCCGCAAUGGGCGAAAGCCUGACGGAGCAACGCCGCGUGAGUGAUGAAGGUCUUCGGAUCGUAAAACUCUGUUAUUAGGGAAGAACAUAUGUGUAAGUAACUGUGCACAUCUUGACGGUACCUAAUCAGAAAGCCACGGCUAACUACGUGCCAGCAGCCGCGGUAAUACGUAGGUGGCAAGCGUUAUCCGGAAUUAUUGGGCGUAAAGCGCGCGUAGGCGGUUUUUUAAGUCUGAUGUGAAAGCCCACGGCUCAACCGUGGAGGGUCAUUGGAAACUGGAAAACUUGAGUGCAGAAGAGGAAAGUGGAAUUCCAUGUGUAGCGGUGAAAUGCGCAGAGAUAUGGAGGAACACCAGUGGCGAAGGCGACUUUCUGGUCUGUAACUGACGCUGAUGUGCGAAAGCGUGGGGAUCAAACAGGAUUAGAUACCCUGGUAGUCCACGCCGUAAACGAUGAGUGCUAAGUGUUAGGGGGUUUCCGCCCCUUAGUGCUGCAGCUAACGCAUUAAGCACUCCGCCUGGGGAGUACGACCGCAAGGUUGAAACUCAAAGGAAUUGACGGGGACCCGCACAAGCGGUGGAGCAUGUGGUUUAAUUCGAAGCAACGCGAAGAACCUUACCAAAUCUUGACAUCCUUUGACAACUCUAGAGAUAGAGCUUUCCCCUUCGGGGGACAAAGUGACAGGUGGUGCAUGGUUGUCGUCAGCUCGUGUCGUGAGAUGUUGGGUUAAGUCCCGCAACGAGCGCAACCCUUAAGCUUAGUUGCCAUCAUUAAGUUGGGCACUCUAAGUUGACUGCCGGUGACAAACCGGAGGAAGGUGGGGAUGACGUCAAAUCAUCAUGCCCCUUAUGAUUUGGGCUACACACGUGCUACAAUGGACAAUACAAAGGGCAGCGAAACCGUGAGGCCAAGCAAAUCCCAUAAAGUUGUUCUCAGUUCGGAUUGUAGUCUGCAACUCGACUACAUGAAGCUGGAAUCGCUAGUAAUCGUAGAUCAGCAUGCUACGGUGAAUACGUUCCCGGGUCU
rnacentral:rRNA from 1 species